AAACUUGACAAACAACUGAUUUGUAUUGUUUAGAGACCCCUGCUCCUCCCCGUCAAUGUUUGCUGGGUAAAGCUAAGAUCAAGUCCGUGAAGUUGACAGGAAUCCUUACUUUCGGAUUCGUCCUCUGUUGGACUCCGUAUCAGAUUGCUAACAUCUGGUAUUUUAUUGACCAAGAAUCCUUCUUCAAACUGGAUUUCCGAAUUCAAAAGUUUCUCUGGGUGUUCUGCUGCGUCAACAACUGCGUCAAUCCCUUCUUGUACAACAUGUUUUCGUACAAUUCCAGCGUCCACUGCAGCAGGAAGCAAAGCAGAAGCGGACAUGAAGCACAAGACUCGGAAACCAGGCCCGGAAUAGAGCUACAGGAAACUCCAUUUCUACAAAAAGAUCGGUUUGUCGGGAGCAAGGUUUCAAGAAGUCUUCUCAUCAACUCAAGAAGGAACAGAGCUUCAAUAAAUUCAAGGAUUUCAUUCUCCAGCACUAAGAUGUAAUAAGUUGACUGGAAAAACGACUUAAGUCGGCAUAAGAAAUUGGCUCCCUCUCUCUAGGUUUCCAACCUUAUGGUGAGCUUUAACACAGACAAGGUUUAUUUGGAGGGAUUUUUAAUCGUAAAAUAUCGUAAAAAUAAUUCGGCUGGAUUUUCUGUCCGUCGGUGUCCAUUUGAUAAUUGUCAGUGUAGUAUAUUACACGGCCCGCUUAUAGAAAUGCUUCUAUCUAUCGAUCGUUACUAUAUGUAAUUUUGUGGGUUUGCUGUACAGCUGUUAUAUCUUGUUUUCAGAAUUCCAAAAUGUGGUCUGCCGUUUUUGUACCUUAAGAAUUGACCGAGAUAUUGAGAACUUUGUUAAAAAUUAAAAUUUAGAAUUUCAUAACCAACAAAUUUUAUGUUACAAAGAAGGAGGUUAAAUUUUACCAAGUUUUAAAGACUUACAAUGUUUUUCUAUGCUCCUCUGACAUCUAUUAACUUUACGAAAACCACAGAAAAGUUGGAAGUACAGGUUUCAAUGUCUAACGUACUGCAUAACACCCCAGCGAAAAAUUACAUCAUACCUUGACUAUGGUAUAUCCAUUCUAUCAUAUAUCCAUGGUUUAUUACGUUUGAAUUAUUUAGUGUAAUACCAUUGGGCUAUAUCCAAGAUCAAACUAAAAUUUCUGAAGGAACUGAGUGUGAGCAAGAAACUGAAAUUAUAUAAUCCCAUUGGGCUCCAAAGAUAUAGGAAUUAAAAAACAUGACAAAACUCAGUUCCUUUGCUCCUAAAUAAAUGAUAAAGCUAAUUCUUAAAAGGAAUUUCAGGAAAAUUAAAUGUGAACCUCAUUCAGUACCCUCACACAGAUAUCUGUGAAAUUAAAGUGAAAACUGAAAGUUUUCAGAUAUAUAUAAUUAUUAUCUCAGACUACUGCACGCUUCGGUAAAAAUACCAGUUUUGUACUGAAAAAUUAAAAGCUUUAAAGGAACUAAGUUCUUCCCACAAACUUAAAUUUUCUAGUUCCUAGACCUUUGCAACCU